AACGAACGCUGGCGGCAGGCUUAACACAUGCAAGUCGAGCGCCUCGCAAGGGGAGCGGCAGACGGGUGAGUAACGCGUGGGAACAUGCCCAAAGGUACGGAACAACUCCGGGAAACUGGAGCUAAUACCGUAUGUGACCGAGAGGUGAAAGAUUUAUCGCCUUUAGAUUGGCCCGCGUUGGAUUAGCUAGUUGGUGGGGUAAAGGCCUACCAAGGCGACGAUCCAUAGCUGGUCUGAGAGGAUGAUCAGCCACACUGGGACUGAGACACGGCCCAGACUCCUACGGGAGGCAGCAGUGGGGAAUAUUGGACAAUGGGCGCAAGCCUGAUCCAGCCAUGCCGCGUGUGUGGUGAAGGCCUUAGGGUUGUAAAGCUCUUUCACCGGAGAAGAUAAUGACGGUAUCCGGAGAAGAAGCCCCGGCUAACUUCGUGCCAGCCGCCGCGGUAAAAC
rnacentral:rRNA from 1 species